GGGCUGGCUUUAGCUCAGCGGUUACUUCGAGUACAUCCAAACCACCUCCUUGGGUGGUUCGAGACCCGCGGGUGCUUUCCAGCUCUUUU
ensembl:misc_RNA Vault Vault RNA